AACGAACGCUGGCGGCGGGUCUUAGGCAUGCAAGUCGAACGCGUGUAGCAAUACACGAGUGGCGCACGGGUGAGUAACGCGUGGGAAUCUGCCCAUUGGUGGGGAAUAACGUUUGGAAACGAACGCUAAUACCGCAUAAGCCGGAAACGGGAAAGGCGAAAGCCGCCGAUGGAUGAGCCCGCGUUGGAUUAGUUAGUUGGUGGGGUAAAGGCCUACCAAGGCGAUGAUCCAUAGCUGGUCUGAGAGGACGAUCAGCCACACUGGGACUGAGACACGGCCCAGACUCCUACGGGAGGCAGCAGCUAAGAAUAUUGGACAAUGGGGGAAACCCUGAUCCAGCCACGCCGCGUGAGUGAAGAAGGCCUUCGGGUUGUAAAGCUCUUUUAGUCGUGACGACGAUGACGGUAGCGACAGAAAAGACACCGGCUAACUUCGUG
rnacentral:rRNA from 1 species